ACUUUGAAACACCGGUUCUCAUCAGAUCACCUAAGUUAAGGAACGUUAAGCCUGGUCAGAACCUAGCUGGGUAACUGCUUGGGAAUACCAGAUGCUGUAA